CAGGAAGGUCCACAAUUAGCUUUCCUAUAGGAGCAGAGCUGGGCCUAAUUUGGGAACUCCCCACAGCUUGUGAGGCUGGGGAGGUAAAAGAGAAAAGAGUGGUGUGACCGUUUCAUACCAAGCUGCAGACUCUACAACGGAGUCUGUCCGUCCUGGAUAGGCCUCAUCAGCCAUCUUCAGACCUGCAGAUAAGACAAUUGUGGAAGACAGUCAUUCUCAGCUGCAAGGGAUUGCCAAUGAUGAUGGCAAAACUGGGCUCUUGUCCUAGACUCUGGGCAGUGUGGCACAGGUGAUGGCCUGAAGUUGAAUGACUGCUCUUGGCACCCCAGCUGUGAUGUUGGCUCCUGUUUAGCAGACUUGGAUUCGGGCCACCAAACUUGACCCAAAUAGAGCUGACCGGACAAUUAGGGGGAAGGCUUUCAAAGGAACAAAGAACUGUUAAGUGCCUAAUGCCCAGGGGCCCUGUUGAAAAACUUCUGGACUGCAGUGAUUGUAUUCUCCAUCAGAUGCAGUCCCGGGGUCUUGCUGUUCUGGGCACGUGUUUCUGAGCUACCAGCAGAGACAAUGCAGCAGUCGCCCCCGGGGUGCAUUUUAAGCUAUUGGUGUGUCUGCUCUCAGUAGGUAGGAGUGUGCGGCAUAUUCCCUCUGCUUACUCUCUGACCUGUACCGCUUGCUUCCAGAAAGAGACAGUCUGCUGGGCACUGUUGCAAUGAAAGUAAACUGAGAUCAGCCAAAGAAC